AAUUAUUGUGUUGACCAAUUAUAGCCGGUACAACAAAAACUGGAUAAUUGAAAAACAUAUGGAAAAUCAAGCUAAAAAAGUUAGCCCUAGUACAGAAGUCUGCAACCAACACAGGAUCUAGGAAGGGAUAAUGCACAUAGCAUUACCCUUGCAAGCAAAUAGAUUAUUUUUGUGAUUUGAAACUUAAUCACCUAAAUUGCAAAGGAAGCAGCUUUAUCAUGACACCAAGGCUCACACCUAUGGAAAAUCAAGUUCUACAAAACAAUUUUGCAUGCUUGUGACUAGUACAAGAGUAACUCAAAAGCAUCAUGAUCUACUAAGAUCUGCAAGAGGUUAUGAGAUUCAAUCAUCCUCCUUAUAGUUGUAUGCCAUCCAUGCUUGCAUUAUGGUCAUACCUUUCCUAAGAUAGGUGCCAUCCCCAUGAUCACCGAAGCUAAAGCUGAGCGAACAUGCUGUGAAGAAUCUGAUGAC
rnacentral:lncRNA from 1 species